AUUGGACGCUGGCGGCAUGCCUUACACAUGCAAGUCGAACGGUAACAGGUCUUCGGAUGCUGACGAGUGGCGAACGGGUGAGUAAUACAUCGGAACGUGCCCGAUCGUGGGGGAUAACUACUCGAAAGAGUAGCUAAUACCGCAUACGAUCUACGGAUGAAAGCGGGGGAUCUUCGGACCUCGUGCGGACGGAGCGGCCGAUGGCAGAUUAGGUAGUUGGUGGGAUAAAAGCUUACCAAGCCGACGAUCUGUAGCUGGUCUGAGAGGACGACCAGCCACACUGGGAAUGAGACACGGCCCAGACUCCUACGGGAGGCAGCAGUGGGGAAUUUUGGACAAUGGGCGAAAGCCUGAUCCAGCCAUGCCGCGUGCAGGAUGAAGGCCUUCGGGUUGUAAACUGCUUUUGUACGGAACGAAAAGACUCUUUCUAAUAAAGAGGGUCCAUGACGGUACCGUAAGAAUAAGCACCGGCUAACUACGUGCCAGCAGCCGCCGUAA
rnacentral:rRNA from 1 species